UGGAAUCACGCUUGGUUUGGUAUAGUAAUGUAUGCCCUUAGAUAAUAGAGAAUGCUUGUGAUGUAAAUAGAACUGCAAAUACACGGAGUGAUUAACUAGAGAACCAGGCUUUAUGCAGUAUACCAGUUUUUGUAAUGUAAACUCAGAUGUGUGUCUUGAGUAUUGAAUAAAGACUGUUAUUAUUGUUAGUCUUAAGUGCUACACUGCUACACGCCUACACAAAGUCAAAGAGCGACGUUUGAUUAGCUUAAGUUAGGUACAACAGAGGCGUUUGAGCGUCGUUAUAUAGAACGACAGGUCUUUUGCGACUCUGAAGCGAC